CCGUAUUCACGUUUUCAUUCACAAACCCUUAAGCCUUCUUCCUUUUCUUAUUUGAGUGGCAGUUUCCUUCAUACAACUUUACAAGAAGGCGAAUCAGAAAUCGAAAUUGAUUAGGGUUAAGCAUCAAAAUCAUGAUCGGCAAUUGGAUUCGUUUACUGGUUAUAGGGUUUGUGAGUAUGAUUUGAAGAGUUUCACUUAGAGUAUAUGUGACCCUAGAGCAAUACAAUCGAUUGAGGUCAAAAAAAUUUCUUCAAAGUUUCUGAUGCCGCUAACAAACAAAAGAAUUACCAUGUAUCCUCAACUGCUAAUUUGGGAUAAGAAUUUAGUUCAUGGGGGAUGAGAUAAAAGAAUGGCAUGAAGGGCAUAGAUUGAAGUUCUUUUGGACUGACUUUGGACAAAUACAUUAAAUACUAGAUAGAUUUUAAAUUGCUUAAACUAUUAGUUCUUUUUAGAGAUUCAUUAGUUUUCUUAUGAUGUUUUUAUAUUAUAACAAUGGUUUUUGUUAUUAGAAUGAUUGUUAUGGAUAUUAUAUUUUAAUAAUAAGUAAAACUUAAUUCGAAAUAAA